UAAGGAGUCAAAAGCGGUCCAAGUUUCAACCUAGAGGCGGUGGACCAUUUCAUGUCAUAGCACUAAUUGGACACAAGGGAUAUAAUUUGGUUGAUCAAGAGAGGGGAUGAUGUGAUCCAAGGUAGGCUUCCAAGUUUCAAGGAAUUGACGCAUUUUGAUUGGGAGCCAAGGUCGAGAAUUGAGCUAAGUUUGGCACUAAUUUGGGAUAAUAAAGC
rnacentral:lncRNA from 1 species